AUGUUUUCUUUCAGAUAUAAUAGUCUUCCUACAUGGCUUUAUGAGGUCAAGUAGUACUGCGAAUUGUGAUUUGCGUAUCAUUUCCCUUGUUCACGUGGUUUUUGCCGAGAGUUCUCUCUACUUUGAGCGGGAAGAGAAAGAAUAGGUAUCGAGGAGUAUAACCUAGGCAGGCUGUGCUCUUGCCGCGGCGGUGAAACUUUCCUCUUUUGACCUCGUACCGCUUUUUGUUUGGUCAUCUUGCUGUUGCUUGGGUUUCGCUGCAGCGAGAACGACUUCUCUCCUUUUCUUUCCCUGCACUGCAGCCCAACGUUGUCAGUGCUGUCCUGGACUCCGGGUACGGCUAUCUCCGUUUCCGUGCCUGAUCGCUGUCCAGUGGGCGGCAUAGAUGCACCCAUUUGACUGUUUACCUUAUCCAUUUUUCAAAUAAUAAAUUCAAGAAGUCAUGAUAAUUUUUUGAAUAAAAUGUAUUACUUCUAGUUAAAAGACGCGAGUGAUUCGUACCCUCCCCGCGCUCCACGGAGUCUCCACAAACGCGCACGCGACGCGUGGCCCACGUCUCGGACCCGAAAUCACAAUUCAGCGAACCAGGACCGUGCGUGAGCUCACGUCCGUGCCUUCCUCUCUACCUCUCUGACCCACCACCAACCACUCACAGAGAUCUCGGGAGGAGAGGACACGGAGCCCUUCGACGAGGCGGAGCUCCUGGCGCUCCCACCGUCCCUCGCGAGCCUCACCGCCUCACUUCAAGAAAUCCUACUCCCAACCACCGCUAGUACCUCCAGCUCUCAUGUCGGCUCCCCACCUCCGCCUACACCGCCGCUGGCGUAGGCGACAUCGAGCGACGAAACCUUAACGUCCAGCCCGUUCUUUCCCCAUGACCCCUCCCCACACCCACCGACGCUGCCAGAAGUGGAUGCGCCCGUGUCGCCACCGCUGCAGCCGAGCGACACCCUCGACGACGACAAGGACGACGAGUUCGACCCACUGUUCUCGGAGACCACCGGCGGCGCGAGGUCUUCGGCUGGCGGCUCGCGUGGCGCGUGCAGGGGCUCGGCGCGAGGCGGCUCGGCUUCCUGCUCGGGCGUCGAGCGCGCGCGGGCGGGGCCUGGCGCGUAGGGCGCCUGGAGCGUCGGGUCGUCGGGCGGUCGGCGUCGAGCGCGCACGGCAGGGCGGGUCGGGGCUUCACUCGGGCGCGGUCCUAGCGCGGCUUGGGCGAGCGGCUCGACGGGCAGGGGCGCAGUCCUUGGCGGCUUCGCGCGGUGAAGAGAGCAGAGAGAGGAAGGUGGGGGAGAGGGAGGAGCAGAGGAGAGAGGGAAAAGAGGGAGCAGGCGGCGGCUGGGAGGAUGGCAGGGGCGGCGGCCACAGGGAAAAUGGCGGCUAGGGUUAGGAUGUUGGGCCUAAUGGGCCUUAGGUUAGUUAGUUUUUUUUAUUUAUUUUUUUUCUUUUCAAAUUUCGAAAUACAUAUUAAAUAACCCUAAAAUUCUUAAUGUUUAAACCAAAACUAUUUAUAAAAUAUUUAUUUUUGGGACUAAUAAUUAUAUUUAUAAUUUACUAGGAUUUCCAUUUAACAAGAAAUGCUGUUCAGUGACCAAAAUCAAUCAUGCGCAUUCCAAAAAUGAUUCCAAAUGAAAUAAAUAACAAACACUUAAAAGAAAAUUAAUUACCAUAAAUAUCAUUAAUAACUAAAUGUAUUAUUUUUGUUUGAUGACUUUCAUAGUGUCACAAUUCCAUAGCGCCUUGGUUUAGCAAACAUGUGUGCAAGAUAGGGACCACAGGUUUGAUAAAAUAGCUUUGGUUUGUUAAACAACUGUUGUUUCUCCUCCACUGCAUUUCAUACGCAUUGGUUGAUAGAUUAGUUAUGAUAAUCACCCAGUCAACAAAAAGCUUAACAAUGUAGCAUCGGUCAACACUGUCACUUCAAGUCCAGCUCAAUCGGUCAACACUUAUACGCGUGACUCUAUAGUUAUAAACUCAUGCCUAUUAAGCAUUGAGCAAUUUACCUAUACUUGUUUCCUAUUCUUUGGUCGUGAUAAUGUUUGCAACCAUGAAUAGUACAGAUUGCUUUUCCAGGUGUGUGGAGAGACAUGUGUAUUCCUCCUAUGACGAAUAAUUCAGGCUCCAUGAAGAUGAGUUCCAGGCAUCAAGAGGUCAAGAUUCCAGGAGGCCUAAAAUAGGUGUGUGGACAGACAUGUGUAUUCCUCCUAUGACGAAUAAUUCAGGCUCCAUGAAGAUGAGUUCCAGGCAUCAAGAGGUCAAGAUUCCUGGAGGCCUAAAAUAGCAAAAUUACAGUGGGGAAAGCCAUUAAAGAAUCUCCAUCUUCAUUGGCAGUCAUGACAUAUUGUUUCAUUUGCUUUUGGUUUAUCAGUGGUCUCACUGGGUUCCACUCUUAACUUAUUGUGACAAACAAGAAACAGUCAAUGGGGUGACCAUGAGACUCUACAGGCUGCUGCUGACAAGGUCAGAGUUUAUACAAUCCAAUUCGUGUUUCAGCUUGCAUAUCUUGUGUAUAGGAGCUGACAAGAAUGCUAAUGGUUUUAGUCGUCGUGAUGUAAUGUAAGAGCGACAAUCUAUGAUUAUGUUCCUUUUGUUUUGAUUGGCUAAAAAGGUCCAGAUUUGUGUGGUGGAAAUAUGUAUACGCGACCAGAGGUUGCAUAGGGUAUUUUUAACUUCAAUGAUAUGUAGUAUAUUACAAUGGCCAAAAGCACCCCUUGGCAGGUGCUCAAAUUGGGCAAGCUUUUAGAAAGCCUUUCUAUUCGAAUAAUCAUCAUCAAUAAGAUAAUAUUUUCUUGAGUAGUUCAAAAUAAAGAAAAUUGCUAAAUACAUAGGAAACUCUCAACAGUACAUGCACGAAAUUUGUACAUAAAUCAAGCUGAGAACAAAUGAAAUAUACUUCAUGUUCAGGAGUAGUGGAAACUAUUUAUUUCAAUGCCCGAGCAAAGCAUCAUUCAAUAAUCAAUAUACAUGGGCAUGUGUUGAACCUGGCCAUCUAGCAACAAAAAAUGACCCUCUUCUCAACACUAUUGAAGGCACUGAUCAUACAAUUAUACUUAUGCUUGUGAGAACGAUGAUUAUGGUGUCUUGGAUGAAUCAUUGUGUUCUGGAUUUUUUUGGUUUUGUAUUUUGUUACUAACUGCUUCAGCUGCCUCCUGCGAUUCUCAAUUUGCAUAACUAAUUGAGGAGCAUUAGGUCUUUAAAAGAAUGUAAGACAAGAAUUGAAAGGCCUAUUUUUGGUGUUGAUUUCAAACCAAUCCAUUAUUUUUUACCAUAGUACCAUAAUUGCUUUUAGAUAAAGUUGACUCUUCUCUCGCUUAUUGUUUGCUUACUCGAGUGUGUAUUGCUUGAAAUAACUUGGGUUCGAAAUACUUUCUGGAGGGAUUCUGAGCCUGGAGAUUUUAGAAGCUGAGGUUAGUAACAUUAACAUUCACUUUCUAUAUAGGAAGCUGGAGAUUAAUAUUGUUUGCUUACUCGAGUGUGUAUUGCUUGAAAUUUCUUGAUCAAAUAUCGUUUUAAACCGCUCAAAUUUCUAUCUUUAUUAUGUUUUCUAUCCUUCUGUUUCCUUUCCUUGCCGUGGUGGUGAACUAACUAUUAGAAAAACACAGCUGAAAACCAUCCUUCGACAGCUUACCACCAGGAAAAGGACAGGUCAGAGCGCAUGUCUAGCGAAGAUGGCGUUUAGUCAGAAAAGAGAAAACUUGGCGCUUUAGUGAACAUCGAAAAUGUCACUUGUGAUACUAAUAUCAUUGCCCGACAAACAGAUUAUGCGCUUUUGUUUGCAAGCAGUACUUGCUUACGUGUUUCUUAGAUUCGUAA